rnacentral:rRNA from 1 species
CCUACGGGGAGCAGCAGUGAGGAAUAUUGGUCAAUGGUCGGGAGACUGAACCAGCCAAGCCGCGUGAGGGAGGAAGGUACAGAGUAUCGUAAACCUCUUUUGUCAGGGAACAAAGGCGGGGACGUGUCCCCGGAUGAGUGUACCUGAAGAAAAAGCAUCGGCUAACUCCGUGCCAGCAGCCGCGGUAAUACGGAGGAUGCGAGCGUUAUCCGGAUUUAUUGGGUUUAAAGGGUGCGCAGGCGGUCGGGUAAGUCAGCGGUAAAAGCCCGGGGCUCAACCCCGGCCCGCCGUUGAAACUGGCAGUCUCGAGUUGGAGAGAAGUAUGCGGAAUGCGCGGUGUAGCGGUGAAAUGCAUAGAUAUCGCGCAGAACUCCGAUUGCGAAGGCAGCAUGCCGGCUCCACACUGACGCUGAGGCACGAAAGCGUGGGUAUCGAACAGGAUUAGAUACCCUGGUAGUC